UAGUCCACGCCUGAUUUGUGGACAACCCUAAAAAUCCUCCCCCUAGUCCCAUCGGCGCUGCCGCCGGUCAUCCACCCCUCUCCUUCCUCGGGAUCCAUCCCACAUCCACCUUGUCUUUAGCCACCACUCUCUCAAUCGGGAUCCCUCCCGAUCCACCCGCCUCUCCUCGAUUUCAGCCACCGGCCAGUCGCCAUCGAAGCUAGCCAACCAGCGUUCUCCUCUGGAUGUCCUCCAUCCACCAACCAGCAGCAGCAACACCUGCAGGAGAGAGCCAGGGGCUCGAUCCCCUCCUCAUGCCCGAGCUUCUCCAACCUCUGCGCUGUCACCAAGCUCCUCCCGCUUGCUCCUCCCUCCGUGGCGCCGCCACCACCGGCGACAAGAAUCAGGCCAUGCCCCCGCUUCCUUCUCUUUUCUUUAGUCUCUCUAUAUCUCUGUCUCUCAAACUCUCUCUUUUUCUAUGUGUCCCACAGCACGCCAUGGAUGCACCAGCUCGACCCGCCAUUGCCUCCCCUUCUUUGCUCCGGUCGCCAUCACCAACGCCAUCAGUGAGAUGCAGCCAAGCCGCCGUACACCCUGCCUCUCGCCCGAGCCUUGCGAGUGGGCACGAGUACAUGUGCUCGUCCGCGCCACCUCGACCUCGCCGGCAAGCAGCAGCCGCACCCGACCUCCUCCAACCCAGGCCUCCCCAGCCUCCUCGCCCAGCCGUGGCCGCGCCAGGCCCAGCAGCAGCUUGCCUAAGCCACGCCCAAUCUCCUUCUCCUCAGGGAACUCGCCGGAGCUCCCAUGGCCGACGCCUCAAACUCGUCUCCGUCGGAUCCACGCCCGGUGCCGCGCCGAACCCAUGCCUCCACCGCUGCUUCACUGCCUCCGCUCGCCGCCAUCUUCUUCCCGGAGGUCCGCCGUCACUGCAAGUCCCGCCGCAGUUUCCGCUCCGUCACGGCCAGUUCGAGCGGAGGAGCAAUCGCCUGUUCCCGUUGACCCGUCGUCCUCCACGUGGUCCGCCAGCCAAGCAGCUCCAAGGCCCAGCCGCUGGCCAGAUCCGUCCCAGCGAGUUCCGGUAACGUUAUGAUUGUGAGGAUUCGUUCGACUAUGUUGGUUCGUCUACUUCAAGGACCCGGUCUUCUUCCUAGCGGGAUUUCAGGCAAGAUGACCAUUAUCUUGGAUACGACUACUAUCUUUAAUUGCUAGUUGUCUCGAUGCUAUCGCUAUGUCGUGCUACCUACCACUUGUUUAUCAAGCCUCCCAAAUUGGCAUGAUAGCCUCUAACCUUUUUCACCAUUCCAGCAAACCGUUGUUUGGCUAUGUUACCGCUUUGGUCAGCACCUCUUAUAGAGUUUUUAGUUACAGGUGCAAUGCAGGUUGUUCCAUGUUAGCACAUGGAUAUCAUGAGAUAUCAUAAUAUCUCUUAUUUAAUUAAUGGAUCUAUAUACAUGGCAAAGGGUGGAAGGCUUGGCCUUUUGCUUGGUGUUUUGUUCCACUCUUCCUGCUUUAGUUUUCGUCAUACCGGUGUUAUGUUCGUUGAUUUUGUGUUCCUAACACGGUCGGGGUUUAUGGCCCCCCUUGACAGUUUGCUUUGAAUAAAACUCUUCCAGCAAGGCCCAACUUUGGUUUUACUAUUUGCCUAAUAACAACUAAAAUUUGCAUAGGGGGUAAUUAACCCGAAGAUUCUUAAUCAACAACCCCGGGCCAGUGCUCCUAAUGAGUGUUGGUCCAAACUGGGUGAUGUUCGGUGCCCCCUGGGCAACCAGAGUCUUAGCCAACCCGACGUCUAGCCCAUCCGGUGUGCCGUGAGAACGAGAUAUGUGCGACUCCUAUCAGGAUUGUCGGUACAUUGGGCGGUCUUGCUGGUUUUGUUUUGCCAUUGUCGAAAUGUCUUGUGCGUCGGGAUUCCGAGUUUGAUCGGGUUGUCCUGAGAUGAAGAUUUUCCUCUGCCGACCGUGAGAGUUAACUUGACACUAAACCCAAAGUAAAAUACACCAACCGCGUGCACAACUGUGAUCGUCUCUUUUUGAGUGAGUUCGGAAAGAGAACACGGUGGGGUUAUGUUUGACUCGUAAGUAGUUCGGGAUCACUUCUUGAUCAUUACUAGUUUGCGACCGUUAUGCAUAGUUUACUCUUCUUAUUCUUGUACUCGUAAGUUAGCCAUCAUACAAUGCUUAGUGCUUGCUGCAACCUCACCACUUAUCCAUUCCAGGCCCAUUAAGCUUUGCUAGUCUUCAUACCCAUGAUAAUGGGAUUUCUAAGUCCUCAUGGCUCAUAGAUUACUACAACAACAGGUGUAGGUAUAGUUAAUGCGAUGAUCUGACGCGAGUGCGAUGCAUGCUUGUUGGAGUUCUUCUUUCACUUCUUCAAUCAAGGGAUAGGUUCUGGAUCGGAAGCCUGGGAUUAAUAGGGUGGAUGUCGUUCUUCUUUUUCGUUUGAUUUCAUCCAUAGUCGGAUCCUGCUCUUCUAUAUGGUGGUUGAUAUGUAUUGAUGUAUUCAUGUUGUAGCUUGUGGCGAGUGUAAGCCUAUAUCUGGUAUUCUCAUCUAUUCAGUACAUGGUAUGUUGUAAUGAUAUCCACCUUGCUAUGUGCUUGAAAUGCGGUUGUGCCCCAAUCAUGAAUUCAUCACGUGAUUGGGAUAGAAUCACAUCUUGGGCGCUACAAGUUAGUAUCAAAGCCUUACCGACCUUAGGAGCCCCCUUGAUUGAUUGAACCGUUGUCGUUGUCAAGUAUACAAAGAAAACUAUUUUGAGUCUAUUUAUAUAUCAGAGAGUAGGAAUUCCUUUUACUCCUUAUCCUCUUCGUUGCUCUAGUGAGGAAUUGUGACGUAGGUGUUUUCAUUCCAUUACUCUUCCCACUCAAUUUUUUUUUAGAAUCACAUGGGUAUUGUUGGAAUCAUUGCGAUAUCCAUGGGACGGGAAUUCUGUUCUUGGUGCCUAUUGACAUUUAGGGGUUGUGGCAGUGUCCCGGGGAGUUGAGCUCCAAGGUGUUUUCGUCACAGUUGUUAUCGCUUCAGUUUCGGAAUACCAGAGGACGUCGACAUCGAAAACGGUUCUAUACUCUUUGUGGUGAGAGUGGUUUGGCGCCACCCAGUACUGGGGAGAGCAAUCAGAUGUAUUCUACAGCUAUUAUAUCAGUUUUUUUGAAGGUCUGAGGUACACAGUUUCCGAGGUUCUUGGUUAUGUGUUGAGGAGGCAGUACAUUUGGAGCGUAGAAUUCUGCUAGGAGUUGUGUGAUGAUAUUUUGCUCCAUGUACUUGUUGUACCGGAUUGCAUAACCGAGAAUUUUGGGAGUUCAUAGGUGGGAAUUCAAGUAGUUACCUAGGUUUAUCCUUCCAACAAAUUCAUGAGUGUUUAUGUAUUUGUUUCCGGCUUAUUUUUGCAAGCCAAAUCCUUUGUUUUAUUUGAGUUGAGGUAUUCGAGUUGCUUCUAUGUCAAGUGUUGAUUCCAUACCUUUUCCUAAGCGGUGUUCUCAUAUUUUAUGGAAGUGCUAAACCUUCUUGAUCAUCGAGAUUAUCAUGACAAUUCUUUUCCAACCGGUGCGCUUCCCUUCAAGAUGAUCCUAUCUUUUCCCCCAUUCUCUGUUUUCUCAACGGUAUCCGUUCCAUCCAUCCCAAGUUGCAUUUGUUUUUUUCCACCAUCCCACCCUUUUCUUCAAGGACUUAGAUUUCUUAAUCAAGUAUCCUUCUAUUUAUGUGAAGUUUCGUCAUCCUUUUCUUCCAAGUUCAUCCGGAGAUUCUAGGUGAAGAUGCUUGGGAAGCUUCAAGUUCAUCAUUCUUCGUUCUUUUUCUUCUCCCGGUGGACUAAAUUCAAGCUUUCAGUGUCGAUCAUAUCAUUUCAUUGGUUCACAUGAUUUCCAUGUUGGAAGUUCUAAUACAAGUCUCUCUUGUUUAUUCACCUCUCUAUAUUCUUCUCCGGAGUGUAAAAGAUAUCUCAGAAAAUUCGCGUUUCCAUUCUCAAUCCGUUCAAGUUAUUUUGAGGUUGUUAUCUCAUUCAAGCCAUUUAAUUUAACGGGUGCAAUCUGUCUUUUAAAAAUCACUUCAAUGGUGUAUCAUCGAACCCUAACCCACAAGUCUUUUCUCAGGAUCUUACCCGACUCUUCUAAAUUUUCCGGAGUUAUUCCAAAUCCUUUUGAAAGUUUGACGUAAGAAUGAAUUAUCAUCAGUCAUAUUCCUUCUCCAAGAUCGCUUUCAAAACAUUUUCAUCGUUGGUUCAACAUUUCUAUUCUUCAUUGUUCCGGAGUGCCUCAACAAUUCAUGGUGGUGUUUCUCAUCAUCAUUCUCAAUAUUUGAAGACCGAAGAAGAGUUUUCCUCCAGACCUUGGUCCGUUCUCUUGAAGUUUCAUGAUUUCAAGCUUCAUGCAAUCCCCUCAAAUUGUUUCCAAUCGUGAGAAAUUAUUUUCAUGACUGUCCCCAAUCCUUUUCGUGAGUUGUUUCAUUUCGAUUCUUCGAAGGCCAUCAUUUCAAAAGAUUUCUUCAUUCUCAUCUUUCAACUUCAUUUCUGCAAUUCUUCUCAAAUCAUGCCUCUUCGUUCGUCUCCAUAUUCUUCUGGUGCUUUGUUCAAGUAUUCUUUAGUCGGCUCAUGAUCUCUUCGUUCACUUGUAUCUACAAUUCCCUCAAGUAUAUUCGUCAUUUCAAUUCUUCACGGUGAUUCGUUCUCUUUUCUUCAUUCGUUUUCAAUUCUUACAGUGGUUCAUUCAACAUUCAUCUUGCUUUAUUAGCAUAUCAUUUCAUUCAUUGUUUCCGAAAUUCUACGAUGACUCGUUGAAGACUUUCUGAAGUUUGCACUAUAUCUCUUCUUAAUCCUUUUUAAGAAGAAUAAGUGGUAUGCCAUAUCCAUUGCUUGUCACCAGGUUAAGUUGAUGACAGAUAAGCAUAACAUAAUCCUUAUUCUUAUUCCUCAAGGUGAUUCAAUCCCUUCGUCUGGAGUUUGUUCAUGUUGAAAAUUUCCCAUUUCCAUGUUGUUGAUCUUCUCUUUUUCCGGAGUUCCAAGUUGUAUUGGUUAUCUCAUCACAAAGCUCCAUCUAAAUCAUCGCAAGGUUUCAUCUUGCUAUUUUUUCAACCUUCACUUCCUUCAUACCAUUUCUUUUCUUACCGGAGUUCUUGAUGAAGUUUCUCAUGGUGGUUCAUCAAAGAUUUCUUCCAUUCUCGAAGUGUUCAUCAAGAUUUUUGUUGGAGGAUCUCAAGUAUUCUUCUUCAUGCAUUUCGAAGUGCAAUUCUGCUACCUUAUCUUGAGGUGGUAUUAUGUCAUUUCUUGACAAUUUCCCUUCAUGUUUCAUGAUUCACAUGUUGUCAAGAAUGACGUAUUUUAAAUCCAUCAAUCUCUUCGUUGGAGUUAUCUUGGUAAAGAUUUCACAUAAAACAUUUCCAAAGGAAUGUUGCUAUUUGUGGUGCUUAUCAAUGAUCCAAGUUAUUUUUUACCAUCUUGGUGGAAGAAGUUUUUCAUCUCUUCAUCGAUCUAAAGCAAGCAAUUGUUUUCGUUAGUGGCAGAAUUUCACCUCAAGUUUUGAGAUGUUUCCACAAGCCCACGAGGACCAUAUGAUUUGAUUGUUGAUUCUUCAACAACUCCGUUCAAGCCUUUCUCCUAAGGAUGCUCUUUCAAAUUCAUUUACAUUAGAUGAUGUUGUAGUCUUCUCUGUUCUUUUCAUUCCAUUCUUUCUUUUGUUCCGGAGGGAUUGUGUUGCUGCUCUCUUCGAGGUAUCAUUCCAUCUUUUCAAGUUCAUGCCCAAAUCCUUCUGUUUUCAAAUGGAGUGCUGCCCAAAUUCUUUCAUUCUUAUUCGUUGUAAUCUCAAUUUAACCGGAGUGGUUUCAAAGUCUAUAUUCUCCCUUAGGCUCUUGGUUCAUGUCUUUCAACCUACAAGGUUCUCGUAAUGUUUCUUGUUCCUCUUUUUUAAUGUAGUGUUUUCAACUGUGUUCAUCUCCAUUGUAUUCUUUUCUUGAAAUUGUUUAACGUUGCAAGGUCUUCCUUUCACUCAUUUGUCCAAGAAGCAACUUAAUAUUACCUCUUCUCUCCGUUUUUCGUCCUUAGAUCUCGGGGCGAGACCUCUUGUAAGUGGGGGAGAGUUGUAACAGCGCGAGACCGACGCUCCAGAUGCCUUCCAUGUUUUUCAUUGUUGUCGUGUGUUUUAUUUUCUUGUUGCAUUUCAUCAUGGCAUCAUGUGCAUUACAUCCGCAUGUUUAAAUAAAACUUGUAUCCGCUCGUAGUUGCUGCUUCUUCCUUCUCUUUGUUGACCUUCUCUCAGAUCAACUGGGCCGCUCUCUUCUCUCUCUUCUUUGAGCCCAUCAAACCCCCUUGCCUCCAUGGCCUUUUGUCAAAGCCCUCGCGUGUGUCCGAAUGCUUCUCCGAAACCGAACCAUGCAGUCAUGACCAGUGGGUUUGCAUUAAACCCAAACAUCUCCAAAUACCUUCGGUUUAUUUAUUGGACUCUCCUAACCUAUUCAUCUCGGACCAUCAGAUUACGAUCGAACAGACGAUUUAGCCCUAACCAUAACCCACUUGCUAUAUAUAGUCCACCCCUAGUCCAUUUGUCGACAACCCUAAAAAUCCACUCCCUUGUCCCAUCGGCUCCGCCGCCGGUCAUCCACCCCUCUCCUUCCUCAGGAUCCAUCCCACAUCCAACUUGUCUUCAGCCACCACUCUCUCCAUCGGGAUCCCUCCCAAUCCACCCAUGAUGAGGACAUGGCUACCACAGUUACACCCAUAUCCCUGUUGUUUUACCUCUUGGAACAAUUGCUAGAACUCGCAUACGCCAAUUCAAUUAUCAGGUACUUUCGUUUCUUGGUAAUGUUUCUAGUGUUCAUGAGAAUAUGGUGCUUCCUAACAAACAUAUAUUUGUGUUGCUUGCAAUUGAAGGGCCUAGCACGGACAAGAAGGAUGAACAUUGGAGCAUGGUCAAGCACGGAGAUGAAGGUGCAUGCGAAGAGAAUAAGAACGGAGGUUCAAGUAGAGAUUUCCGGACUUUGAAGCCACAAUGACGACAUACAAGAAGAUGGACAAAAUAUACAAGAUGGCCUUUUAUAAAUUUCGUCCAUAGCUUAUUAUUGGUGCUGCGCCACCUUAUUUUUGGGCCAGGCCCAUGUAAUUUCAAAAUACUACUUCAUAGGCUGUUUUUAGAGUUCAUAUUGCAGGGGAAACGAACCGGGAGGUAUUUUAGUCCCACCUUGCCAAGAGUGGACGAAAUCCCCUCUCUUUUCCCCUAUAAAUAUAGCCCUUAAGGAAUCGUUUAGACUUGGGUUUUAUUUAGUUAAAAUUUAGUCAUCACUGCAACUUCGUGUACUUCGUUUGUGUCCAACGACCAGACCAAGACCGCUUAUGAAACCCCAUUUUUAUCAAUAUUUCAUCCAUAUUCGCAGUA